CACUAAUAGAAUAAAUAUCUCUUUUCUUAACAGAUACGAAUGAAGUUCAGGUUCGUCCACUGGGGUAUAUAAAGGAUCCGUCCACGAGAAGAAAAAGGUUUUGCGACAGAAAGAGAACUCUUUUAGAGAAGGCCAAAGAAAUACACAUCCUGUGUGGAUCUACGGUCAAGUUGGAUCUGAAGGCCGAGAGUGGACGGCAAUACACCUACCAUUCCGACCCAGUGGCACAAAGAAGUGUCAAACUUCAAGCAGGUACCUACCAACUAAUAACGAAAGCUUCACAAAGGCCGACUUCCCAUCCCCCAACCAAGCGACGGGUUGUUGCAGGUGACACGGCUGGCCCAUCACACAUUUCGUCUUCUACAUCUAAUGUGCAGGAGCUCCUAGGAAAAAAGAAGAAAACCAUUAGUAAUACAAAACAUGAAAGUAAAAAGGACAAACACAAAAAAGAGAAGAAAGGGUUGUGAUUUACAUCAGUAAUCAAUUCAAAGAACGGUUAAUAACUUUUAUUCUUUUUAAAUGCAAAUUGAAUUGUGUGAUGUAGUUUUUCUGUCCCACUCUUACUUUCUCAGGUUUAGUCAGGUUCCUGAAGACAAGUGUCCACCUAUCAUUGUUAGGCGCACCUCCCCUUAACUUCAGCCAUGACUUGCCAACUUGCCCUGCUUAUUAGCUUCUUCAAGACAACCAUCUCCUCCUUGAUGAUGGCCAGUCCGCCCUGUUCUGCAUACGGUGUAAGAACUUUCUAGGGUCUCCCGAACCAUGAGGACCUGCAUGAAAUAAUACAUAAUGGAGAGAAGAAGAUAGAAGAAAUUAUGAAAAAUUUGGCGAUUCCACCAGUUCAUGACAAGCUUAUACAAACAUGUGUUUGAAUCUUAAGUAUAUCAAUUAUUAUCGACGUUGAUUCAUAUUUUCAGAUAUGUGGAACAAAAUUUGUCAUAAUUAAAUGCUCUAACAUGGUCCUUGUUUAGAGUAUGUAAUUGCAUUUAUCAUUUUACAUCAUUCAUACACGUACAUAUUUCAUCUUUCAUAAUUAUAUAAGAAUGCUUCAUCAUGCCAAACCUGGUCAUGCAUGUCGCGAUACAGGAUAUCCUGGUAUUUUGGAUGAUUCCCAGCAUACAUUACAUGGAGCAGUUUUGUCUUUGCUGUUGAGAUUGCUUCCACAUUGUUCCUCCGAGCUCCAGUGCGUAGCAUCAUGAGGGCAUGAAGGUAGGUGAUUAACAUCUGUUGCAUAUAGGUCAGUAGGUGUAUGUAAUUCGUAUCACUGUCGCUCCACUUCCAAUACCCCUCCAUUCAGCUUCAGAUUAAUUUGAUUGGUCCAUUUGGAAAUUCAGUUGGCAUUACAUAAAGCACAUGAACAAUAUACAAUAGAAAUAAUAUACCGGUACACAAACAG